GACAGAGGGGGCAAGCGUUGCUCGGAAUUACUGGGCGUAAAGAGCUCGUAGGCGGUCUGUCGCGUCGGAUGUGAAAACUCGGGGCUCAACCCCGAGCCUGCAUUCGAUACGGGCAGACUAGAGUUCGGUAGGGGAGACUGGAAUUCCUGGUGUAGGCGGUGAAAUGCGCAGAUAUCAGGAGGAACACCGGUGGCGAAGGCGGGUCUCUGGGCCGAUACUGACGCUGAGGAGCGAAAGCGUGGGGAGCGAACAGG
rnacentral:rRNA from 1 species